AAAUUGAAGAGUUUGAUCAUGGCUCAGAUUGAACGCUGGCGGCAGGCCUAACACAUGCAAGUCGAGCGGUAGCACAGAGAGCUUGCUCUCGGGUGACGAGCGGCGGACGGGUGAGUAAUGUCUGGGAAACUGCCUGAUGGAGGGGGAUAACUACUGGAAACGGUAGCUAAUACCGCAUAACGUCGCAAGACCAAAGUGGGGGACCUUCGGGCCUCAUGCCAUCAGAUGUGCCCAGAUGGGAUUAGCUAGUAGGUGGGGUAACGGCUCACCUAGGCGACGAUCCCUAGCUGGUCUGAGAGGAUGACCAGCCACACUGGAACUGAGACACGGUCCAGACUCCUACGGGAGGCAGCAGUGGGGAAUAUUGCACAAUGGGCGCAAGCCUGAUGCAGCCAUGCCGCGUGUGUGAAGAAGGCCUUCGGGUUGUAAAGCACUUUCAGCGGGGAGGAAGGCA
rnacentral:rRNA from 1 species